rnacentral:snRNA from 1 species
UUAUCUGAGAGAAGAUCUGGGUAUGAUACCUGUAAUCCCAUUGACCUCCAGGGUUAAUUCAGCUCAUUUGGCUGGCUAAGGGGGUUUCCUCUUGCUUCCACAUCACUACACAUGUGGCCUCCCUGAAGCUAUAAGCAUGGUAGAAGAGAAGGACCAUCCCAGAAAGGGAUAUACCAGUCAUGUGUCUC